rnacentral:rRNA from 1 species
UGAAACUUAAAUCCUUUCAAAAGGAUCAAUUAGAGGGCAAGUCUGGUGCCAGCAGCCGCGGUAAUUCCAGCUCUAAUAGCGUAUAUUAAAGUUGUUGCAGUUAAAAAGCUCGUAGUUGGAUUUAGGCUAAGUAUCUUGGGUCUCCAGUCUUUACGGACGGAGGUAUCCCGUGUAUACUUUGCUUUCUUUCGAAGACAUCCUUUCCUCUUAACUGAGCGGAGGGCUGGAUUCGGAUUCUUUACUUUGAAGAAAUUAGAGUGUUCAAAGCAGGCUGACGCAAUUGAAUAUAUUAGCAUGGAAUAAUAAAAUAUGACGACCGUCCAUAUUUUUGGGUUUCAAGGACAAUGGUCGUAAUGAUUAACAGGGACAGUCGGGGGUGUUUGUAUUGCUUCGUUAGAGGUGAAAUUCUUGGAUCGAAGCAAGACAAACUACUGCGAAAGCAUUCACCAAGGAUGUUUUCAUUAAUCAAGAACGAAAGUUAGGGGAUCGAAGGCGAUUAGAAACCGCCCUAGUCUUAACCAUAAACUAUGCCAACUAGGGAUUGGAGGGUGUUUUUUUAAUGACCCUUUCAGAACCUUGUGAGAAAUCAAGAGUCAUCGGGUUCUGGGGGGAGUAUGGUCGCAAGGCUGAAACUUAAAGAAAUUGACGGAACGGCACACCAGGCGUGGAGUCUGCGGCUUAAUUUGACCCAACACGGGAAAACUUACCAGGUCCAGACACAGGAAGGAUUGACAGAUUGAUAGCUCUUUCUUGAUUCUGUGGGUGGUGGUGCAUGGCCGUUCUUAGUUGGUGGAGUGAUUUGUCUGGUUAAUUCCGUUAACGAACGAGACCUCAACCUGCUAACUAGGCACACCAAUCCCUUUGUGGAUUGAGUGGUCGCACUUCUUAGAGGGACUACCGGCGUUUAGCCGAUGGAAGUUUGAGGCAAUAACAGGUCUGUGAUGCCCUUAGAUGUUCUGGGCCGCACGCGCACUACACUGAUUGGCUCAACAAGUUCAACCUGCUCCGAAAGGUGUGGGUAAUCUUGGGAAAUCCAAUCGAGAUGGGGAUCGAUCAUUGUAAUUUGAUCGUGAACGAGGAAUGUCUCGUAAGCGCAAGUCAUCAGCUUGCGUUGAUUACGUCCCUGCCGUAUGUACACACCGCCCGUCGCUUCUACCGAUUGAAUGAUAGGGUGAAAUGUUUGGACCGUGGAGCUAAGGCUGCA